GUGCACAGGUCAGCCGUGUGGGAAUGCCACUGUGUAAAGCAGUGUAUGUGCACAGGUCAGCCGUGUGGGAAUGCCACUGUGUAAAGCAGUGUAUGUGCACAGGUCAGCCGUGUGGGAAUGCCACUGUGUAAAGCAGUGUAUGUGCACAGGUCAGCCGUGUGGGAAUGCCAUUGUGUAAAGCAGUGUAUGUGCACAGGUCAGCCGUGUGGGAAUGCCACUGUCUAAAGCAGUGUAUGUGCACAGGUCAGCCAUGUGGAAAUGCCACUGUAUAAAGCAGUGUAUGUGCACAGGUCAGCCGUGUGGGAAUGCCACUGUGUAAAGCAGUGUAUGUGCACAGGUCAGCCGUGUGGGAAUGCCAUUGUGUAAAGCAGUGUAUGUGCACAGGUCAGCCGUGUGGGAAUGCCACUGUCUAAAGCAGUGUAUGUGCACAGGUCAGCCAUGUGGAAAUGCCACUGUAUAAAGCAGUGUAUGUGCACAGGUCAGCCGUGUGGGAAUGCCACUGUGUAAAGCAGUGUAUGUGCAUAGGUCAGCCAUGUGGGAAUGCCACUGUGUAAAGCUGUGUAUGUGCAUAGGUCAGCCGUGUGGGAAUGCCACUGUGUAAAGCAGUGUAUGUGCACAGGUCAGCAGUGUGGGAAUGCCACUGUGUAAAGCAGUGUAUGUGCAUAGGUCAGCAGUGUGGGAAUGCCACUGUGUAAAGCAGUGUAUGUGCACAGGUCAGCCGUGUGGGAAUGCUAUUGUGCAAAGCCACAUGAACUUGAUACCCAUAUAAUGUCUAGUAAUUUUUUAUUCAUGAAAUGGAACAAAUAUAGAACUACCUCAUAAAUUAACAAUUAAU